UGAGGUGCAUCAAGCCAAGUAUCCCCAANU
rnacentral:piRNA from 1 species